GCUCCGAUGGCUUAGAGGUUAGAGCGUCCGCCUCGGAUGCAGGAAGUCGCAGGUUUGAACCCCGGUUGAGGCA